rnacentral:tRNA from 1 species
GCAGGGGUAACUCAGUGGUAGAGUCUUGCCUUCCAUGCAGGGGACCUGGGUUCAGUUCCCAGCCAAUGCA